rnacentral:rRNA from 1 species
GAUGAACGCUGGCGGCGUGCCUAAUACAUGCAAGUCGAGCGAACAGACGAGGAGCUUGCUCCUCUGACGUUAGCGGCGGACGGGUGAGUAACACGUGGAUAACCUACCUAUAAGACUGGGAUAACUUCGGGAAACCGGAGCUAAUACCGGAUAAUAAAUUGAACCGCAUGGUUCAAUAGUGAAAGACGGUUUUGCUGUCACUUAUAGAUGGAUCCGCGCCGCAUUAGCUAGUUGGUAAGGUAACGGCUUACCAAGGCAACGAUGCGUAGCCGACCUGAGAGGGUGAUCGGCCACACUGGAACUGAGACACGGUCCAGACUCCUACGGGAGGCAGCAGUAGGGAAUCGUCCGCAAUGGGCGAAAGCUUGACGGAGCAACGCCGCGUGAGUGAUGAAGGUCUUCGGAUCGUAAAACUCUGUUACUAGGGAAGAACAAAUGUGUAAGUAACUAUGCACGUCUUGACGGUACCUAAUCAGAAAGCCACGGCUAACUACGUG